AUGAACGCUGGCGGCGUGCCUAAUACAUGCAAGUCGAGCGAACAGACGAGGAGCUUGCUCCUCUGACGUUAGCGGCGGACGGGUGAGUAACACGUGGAUAACCUACCUAUAAGACUGGGAUAACUUCGGGAAACCGGAGCUAAUACCGGAUAAUAUAUUGAACCGCAUGGUUCAAUAGUGAAAGACGGUUUUGCUGUCACUUAUAGAUGGAUCCGCGCCGCAUUAGCUAGUUGGUAAGGUAACGGCUUACCAAGGCAACGAUGCGUAGCCGACCUGAGAGGGUGAUCGGCCACACUGGAACUGAGACACGGUCCAGACUCCUACGGGAGGCAGCAGUAGGGAAUCUUCCGCAAUGGGCGAAAGCCUGACGGAGCAACGCCGCGUGAGUGAUGAAGGUCUUCGGAUCGUAAAACUCUGUUAUUAGGGAAGAACAAAUGUGUAGUAACUAUGCACGUCUUGACGGUACCUAAUCAGAAAGCCACGGCUAACUACGUG
rnacentral:rRNA from 1 species